AGGAUGAACGCUGGCGGCGUGCCUAAUACAUGCAAGUCGAGCGAAUGAUGAGGAGCUUGCUCCUCUGAUUUAGCGGCGGACGGGUGAGUAACACGUGGGUAAUCUGCCUGUAAGACGGGGAUAACUCCGGGAAACCGGGGCUAAUACCGGAUAAUAAGAGAAGAAGCAUUUCUUCUUUUUGAAAGUCGGUUUCGGCUGACACUUACAGAUGAGCCCGCGGCGCAUUAGCUAGUUGGUGAGGUAACGGCUCACCAAGGCGACGAUGCGUAGCCGACCUGAGAGGGUGAUCGGCCACACUGGGACUGAGACACGGCCCAGACUCCUACGGGAGGCAGCAGUAGGGAAUCUUCGGCAAUGGGCGAAAGCCUGACCGAGCAACGCCGCGUGAGCGAUGAAGGCCUUCGGGUCGUAAAGCUCUGUUGUUAGAGAAGAACAAGUACGAGAGUAACUGCUCGUACCUUGACGGUACCUAACCAGAAAGCCACGGCUAACUACGUGCC
rnacentral:rRNA from 2 species